CAGCAGCCGCGGGAACACGUAGGGUGCGAGCGUUAAUCGGAAUUACUGGGCGUAAAGCGUGCGCAGGCGGUUCGUUAAGACAGAUGUGAAAUCCCCGGGCUUAAUCCGGGAACUGCAUUUGUGACUGGCGAGCUAGAGUAUGGCAGAGGGGGGUAGAAUUCCACGUGUAGCAGUGAAAUGCGUAGAGAUGUGGAGGAAUACCGAUGGCGAAGGCAGCCCCCUGGGCCAAUACUGACGCUCAUGCACGAAAGCGUGGGGAGCAAACAGGAUUAGAGACCCCUGUAGUCCCUGUCUCUUAUAC
rnacentral:rRNA from 1 species